rnacentral:rRNA from 1 species
AUAUAGACUUCUCCUGAAGUUUAUAUUAAACAUUUAUGGCUAUUAGAUGGGUAUGCGUCCUAUUAGUUAGUUGGUAAGGUAACGGCUUACCGAAGGCAGCGAUAGGUACGGGGUCCUGAGAGGGAGACUACCCCCACACUGGUACUGAGACACGGACCAGACUCCUACGGGAGGCAGCAGUGAGGAAUAUUGGACAAUGGGCGAGAGCCUGAUCCAGCCAUGCCGCGUGCAGGAAGACUGCCCUAUGGGUUGUAAACUGCUUUUACAGAGGAAGNAACCACCCCACGUGUGGGGGUUUGACGGUACUCUGCGAAUAAGGAUCGGCUAACUCCGUG